AGAUUCAUCAUAAGUACCAUUCUCUAUCACCUCAGAGUUCUCAUAACUCUCUUGUUCUGAAAAACAACAUAAGUGCAGCUGAGUACGUAUAAAAUACGUACUCCGCAAGUCGCCGGGAAAAGUGGAUGCAAGAGUCUUUAAAGAGGAAUAACUUUACCGGCCACGGCUACAACCACCGAGCCAUUAGCUCAAAAUACUUUGUAGGUAAAAAUAUUUUCCCUUAACCCAUUUUGUUGAAAACCAAAUUUUAUUUAUAAAAUCUACUGGCGACAGAGCGACGUGGGACCUUACAUCCUGUGUCAGAGGAAAACCCACACGACGCACGUCCAUGCGCUACCCGUGCACACGACUAGACCAAGGAACCAGAACCUUUAACCAGCCCGUACACUACCUCUGCUUUUCCACCUUGCCUUACUAAAGGCCCGCGGGUCGAGACCCCUGACCGGCAGUCCCGCCCUAGGGUGACUGUACCUACCUGGCUACAGCCACCUUCUCACCCAUGCAGAGGCAGCUACUUGGCAUGGGUAGUUGGUUCAGCCCGUCCCAUUCCAGGUCUAUGGUCACUACGAUUUGCGCCGCUUUUGAAGUAAGCGCCAGUUGGUUGUGUCCUAAUGUGAUACCCUAUGUAGAGGAGCCCGCCAUCCAAGCCGACCCUCCCUGGGUUGCUUUCACCAACAUGAGCUCCCCUACCCACCAAAUAUUUAUUUAUAUUGUAACCCUACCUGGGUCACAACUACUUAAUACAGAUGCUUCACCUGAUCUGGUCCAAUUGCCAAAUCAGUGGAUCCACCUGAUCCAAAUUUCAUUUUAUUUAUGAAAAUAUUUAUUUUAAAUCUUAUGCAAAAUUUUGGAAAUGACCCAUAGCCCGGAAAACAUUUAUCAAGACAUGGUCAAGGAGAUGACGACUUGCCGGAUAGUGCUUCGACCAACUCGGAACCACCGGGCGUGGCUCCUAUGGAUCCGAGAUCGGCUCCUGAUAAUUAUUUCACAACCAUGUUUAUAUUUCCUAAUUUAAAAUCUAAAGAUCCAGCAACACGGCCAUGUUGGGAAAGCCAUAAUUAAUUAACUAGGUUGUGAUACGUCCUAGUGUUUCAUUGAGAGAUAAAAUGCAUCAAACCAUCCAAAUCAGAGUAGCAUGCACGUAUGCCAUCCAGUCUAGAGAGUAAAAAAAUGAUAAGUAAAAAGGAAACAAUAGCCUAGUACUGCACUACUAGUACUUUACUCGUUGAACCCAGCUCGUUCCUCUCCUCGUCUUCUCUGCUAUCCCAAGAACAGAACCAGCCACCCACCUCUCUCUCUCUCCCCAAGAACAGAGCAUGGCCGCCGCAGCCUCGAUCUGCCCCGUCCGGGCAUCUCCGGCGACACGGUGAACACCUACAGAUUCUCCUCGUCCCCCUCUACCAUUUCCCCCUAUUUAUUUUAUCCGCCGCCGCCAAAAACGUCGCCACCACUCAAUCCUAGCGCUGCCUGAUUCAGGUCCGGUGGGCUUGCCACCGGCUGCAGCGGCAACGACGUCUCCAUGCCUACAUCCUCCCCCAGCGCAGCCACACGCACGAGGCAUGCAGCCACGGGCGUCGGGCGUGUGCGGCUUCACCGGCGCUGCUCGGUCGCAUGGCUCUGCUGCUAACGGUGUGGAACUAGCCACAUCCUACUGCUACUACUGGUAAGUACUAAUUCUGAUUCCUUCUCCAUAAGUGUUCCAAAUUUCACAUCGAGUGCUUGCUAGAUGUCAACGUGGGUGUGCAUAUAGUGUUCAUUUUAUCUCAGGCCCUACUAUUGCCCACUCAGCCAUAUUGCCUUCUUUCUCUUUGUUUAUCUCAAGGCCAUGAAAUUAAUCAAGAUUUAAUCUAUGGCGUGGUCAUGGUAUUGCUACUGAUUAGAUCUAAAUGUUGUUCCUAACUAGUGCUACUCAUCCUUGAACACCAUAUAGAAGCAAAUAGUGGCAGUGAAACUCCAAAAUUAAUUACUUGUGAGUAGAUUAUAAACAUCAAUCACUCAAUUUUUGCUACAGAUUGGCAGGGAUUAAUAAUUAGAACAAGGUAGUAUACACAGGAAGAUUGAUCUUUUGGAUACACACAUACAUGUCUUAGCAAGUUACUAGUACUUUGGAUUUGAUUCUUGGCAUGUUAGAUCUAGUACAAGCCAUAGAUGUCAUUCACAGAAACUUUUACAAGCUUUUGCAAUUGAUCUAAUUAGUUUUGAUUAACUUGGGUGUUUACGCAAACAUUUUGUUCUUUUUACAGCAAGAUAAAUAGACCAAGGUGAAUAGAUGCCCAUGGACUGAUUCAAACCAAGGUGAGGAUAGACAAGAAGUCAAGCAAGAAGGGCUAACACAACAAGGUACUUGAUUAGUACCUGAUGGCGCAUGCAACCCAAAGGGCUUCACCGCAGUGAAGGACAGCAGUGUGGCAGAAGGUGAAAAGGCAAGUGGUGGUGGUACUCCAGUGUAUGUGUGUGUGUGAGGUGGAUUGGACCAUAGUGAAAGGAAUGGCUCCUAUUUAUAGUGGGGUUAGUAGCUAUGUCGGUUUGGAGAGGCAUUACAUCUGGCAUGCAUGCGUGGUUAGGCUUGCAUGCAUGCCUCCACUUGUGUCUCUUGUAGGCUGUACUAGGGACAAGUGUAAUUUGCUU
rnacentral:lncRNA from 1 species